CAAUCACAUUAUGUCCUUAUUAUAUUGCUGUCAAGUAAGCACUACUGGACGGAAGUGUAAUGAGGGUAAAAUUGUGAAA
rnacentral:pre_miRNA from 1 species